rnacentral:rRNA from 1 species
GCGGCGGACGGGUGAGUAACACGUGGAUAACCUACCUAUAAGACUGGGAUAACUUCGGGAAACCGGAGCUAAUACCGGAUAAUAUAUUGAACCGCAUGGUUCAAUAGUGAAAGACGGUUUUGCUGUCACUUAUAGAUGGAUCCGCGCCGCAUUAGCUAGUUGGUAAGGUAACGGCUUACCAAGGCAACGAUGCGUAGCCGACCUGAGAGGGUGAUCGGCCACACUGGAACUGAGACACGGUCCAGACUCCUACGGGAGGCAGCAGUAGGGAAUCUUCCGCAAUGGGCGAAAGCCUGACGGAGCAACGCCGCGUGAGUGAUGAAGGUCUUCGGAUCGUAAAACUCUGUUAUUAGGGAAGAACAAAUGUGUAAGUAACUAUGCACGUCUUGACGGUACCUAAUCAGAAAGCCACGGCUAACUACGUGCCAGCAGCCGCGGUAAUACGUAGGUGGCAAGCGUUAUCCGGAAUUAUUGGGCGUAAAGCGCGCGUAGGCGGUUUUUUAAGUCUGAUGUGAAAGCCCACGGCUCAACCGUGGAGGGUCAUUGGAAACUGGAAAACUUGAGUGCAGAAGAGGAAAGUGGAAUUCCAUGUGUAGCGGUGAAAUGCGCAGAGAUAUGGAGGAACACCAGUGGCGAAGGCGACUUUCUGGUCUGUAACUGACGCUGAUGUGCGAAAGCGUGGGGAUCAAACAGGAUUAGAUACCCUGGUAGUCCACGCCGUAAACGAU